UUUUCUUUCACAAUCUCGUUGACUUCCCAAGGGGCAGGAUCUAACCCCAAAACCAUCUGAACUGCUGUGAGGCGGUCAGAUUCUGUAGUAGAUACGCGUGCCCCUCUUUUCUUUUUCCCACUUCGCAGCAAACUACAGAGCCUCACAAAUUGCUUGGGUUUCCGCGUGGAAAGCUGAUUGGAGUUUCACCGCUCGAGCGAAGCCACCAAACAGUACACCGUGGGCGUCCCUGCAUACUUCAGCCACAGAUCCGUCGUUUGUUGCAGCUUUGAAAGCUCUGUCAACGUUUAUCUUCACCCAUCCCAGAUCCGGCGGUUUCCAUUACACGGUUAUGUCUUUUGCUGUGCUGGUGUGUCGCUUCUGCAGUGGGAUCUGAUCUUUGAAGUUUUCUUCAUCGCAAGCAUAUCGGCUACAACUCCCUGCGGAUCUGGCGUUUUUGCUCGAAAUACGGCGUCAUUCCUCUCUUUCCAGAUGAACCAGAGAGCUUCGCUCACUAUUUCGGGUUCGGGGGCUUGAGGAAGGGGCAGAGCAGGAACAAGUGUUCUGCUGUUUCUGGAGUCACUUUACGUAGGGAGAGCACAUCGUCUUAGAUCACAAUAGAAGAGGCAAGAAGGCAUUCCUGUUUUUUGAGGGGCAUUCUAGUUUUUUUUCUCCGUUAGGGCUUGAAAGCUGAACUCAGUGGCAGAGUCAGAGACCGAAAUGCAUCAUCGCAUUAAGAGGAGGAAAACUAAUGCGAGUGGAAAUGCAGAGGAUGUUGAUACCGGUGUAUCUGGUUUGAUGACCGUGUCU